GAGAAAAUUAGUAUGUUAAGAUAGCCCAAGAUGACUGCCUAUAUAAUAUAAUUACCAAUUUCAAAAUUGGUUUUGAACAUAGGCAAGUCAUCCUUGGCUAAUAAACAAAUACUUUACU
rfam:Solanum tuberosum cultivar DM 1-3 516 R44 scf00514_11, whole genome shotgun sequence.